rnacentral:lncRNA from 1 species
AGAAGUCAGGGAAAGACAAAUACCUUAUGAUUUCACUCAUAGGAAGAAUUUACGAACCAAAACAAAUGAGCAAAGGAAAAAGAGAGAGGCAAACCAAGAGACAGACUCUUAACUACAGAGAAGAAAUGGUGGCUGUCAGAAGGGAAGGCGGGUGAAAAAGGACGAACUGGUGAUGGGGAUAAAGAGUACACUUAUGGUGAGCACUGAGGAAUGUAUAGAAUUGUUGAAUCCCUAUACUGAACACCUGAAACUAAUAUAACACUGUACGUUAACUAUACUGGAAUUAAAAUUUACUCAAAAGGGUUCAUUACAAUCUAAAAUUCUUCAGCACGGCACUUCUGGAAGACACCAGUAAUCUGGACUUGAAACCUACUUAUUAUACUUGCCAUAGAAUAAGACUUUCUCCCGGUUUCUACUGUGCAAAGCAGAGAGAUAGGUUUCUCCAAGUGCAAAGCAACGUGGUAGAGGAGAAAGCCUUCUGGAAAAAUACCAGCGCCUUCACAUCCGAAGUCACUACCUUUCGUUCGAGUAUGAAAGAAACACCUUUCACAUUCAAAGAGAGAAGCUACUCACCGCCCGGCUUCAACCACUGCCUCACGGAGAGAACCCUCAGAACCAGAGGAGGCAAGAGGUGGCUAACCCAGAAGUAUUCGUGGGCAGUCUUCCCCAAGCUCGACUUUACCGAGGAUUCCCCUCGGUCUCUGCCCCCCGUCAUUAACCCUUGCCUCUUGCACGUAAGCGGGGAUGAGGCUGUGUGACGGGUGUCCGAGCCCGACAUGUGUGUGGUGCCGUGCGCCUUCUCUCCAUCACCACCGCACCCCGCACCCCCGCCAGGAGGUAGUGUGCUCCCU